rnacentral:rRNA from 1 species
GAUGAACGCUGGCGGCGUGCCUAAUACAUGCCAGUCGAGCGAACGGACGAGAAGCUUGCUUCUCUGAUGUUAGCGGCGGACGGGUGAGUAACACGUGGAUAACCUACCUAUAAGACUGGGAUAACUUCGGGAAACCGGAGCUAAUACCGGAUAAUAUUUUGAACCGCAUGGUUCAAAAGUGAAAGACGGUCUUGCUGUCACUUAUAGAUGGAUCCGCGCUGCAUUAGCUAGUUGGUAAGGUAACGGCUUACCAAGGCAACGAUGCAUAGCCGACCUGAGAGGGUGAUCGGCCACACUGGAACUGGGACACGGUCCAGACUCCUACGGGAGGCAGCAGUAGGGAAUCUUCCGCAAUGGGCGAAAGCCUGACGGAGCAACGCCGCGUGAGUGAUGAAGGUCUUCGGAUCGUAAAACUCUGUUAUUAGGGAAGAACAUAUGUGUAAGUAACUGUGCACAUCUUGACGGUACCUAAUCAGAAAGCCACGGCUAACUACGUG